UACGGAGGGAGCUAGCGUUGUUCGGAAUUACUGGGCGUAAAGCGCACGUAGGCGGCUUUGUAAGUUAGAGGUGAAAGCCCGGGGCUCAACCCCGGAAUUGCCUUUAAGACUGCAUCGCUUGAAUCCGGGAGAGGUGAGUGGAAUUCCGAGUGUAGAGGUGAAAUUCGUAGAUAUUGGGAAGAACACCGGGUGGCGAAGGCGGCGACCUGGGUCCGUUGA
rnacentral:rRNA from 1 species